UACGUAGGGAGCAAGCGUUGUCCGGAAUCAUUGGGCGUAAAGCGCGCGUAGGUGGCUCUAUAAGUCCGUUGUGAAAGUCAAAGGCUCAACCUUUGAAAGCCGAUGGAUACUGUCGGGCUCGAGUCCGGAAGAGGCGAGUGGAAUUCCAGGUGUAGCGGUGAAAUGCGUAGAUAUCAGGAGGAACACCUGCGGUGUAGACGGCUUACUGGACCAUAACUGACGCUGAGGCACGAAAGCGUGGGUAGCAAACAGG
rnacentral:rRNA from 1 species